rnacentral:rRNA from 1 species
UAGGGAAUAUUGCGCAAUGGACGAAAGUCUGACGCAGCAACGCCGCGUGGGUGAUGAAGCAUUUCGGUGUGUAAAACCCUGUCAGUGGGGAAGAAACGUAUGGAGAGUAACUGCUCCAUGCCUGACGGUACCCACAGAGGAAGUCCCGGCUAACUCCGUGCCAGCAGCCGCGGUAAUACGGGGGGACGAGCGUUGUUCGGAUUUACUGGGCGUAAAGGCGCGUAGGCGGGUCUUCAAGUCGGUUGUGAAAACUGCCAGCUUAACUGGCAGCCUGCAUCCGAUACUGUUGAUCUUGAGUACAGGAGAGGAGAGUGGAAUUCCAGGUGUAGCGGUGAAAUGCGUAGAUAUCUGGAAGAACACCAGUAGCGAAGGCGGCUCUCUGGACUGAUACUGACGCUCAAGCGCGAAGGCUUGGGGAGCAAACAGGAUUAGAUACCCUGGUAGUCCAAGCGGUAAACGAUGGGUACUAGGUGUCGGAGGUAUCGA